rnacentral:rRNA from 1 species
AUUGAACGCUGGCGGCAUGCCUAACACAUGCAAGUCGAACGAGUGGCGGACGUGUGAGUAAUGUCUGGGAAACUGCCUGAUGGAGGGGGCUAACUACUGGAAACUGUAGCUAAUACCGCAUACCAUCGGAUGUGCCCAGAUGGGAUUAGCUAGUAGGUGGGGUAAAGGCUCACCUAGGCGACGAUCCCUAGCUGGUCUGAGAGGAUGACCAGCCACACUGGAACGGAGACACGGUCCAGACUGCAACGGGAGGCAGCAGUGGGGAAUAUGGCACGAUGGGCGGAAGAAUGAUGCAGCCAGGCCGCGUGUAUGAAGAAGGCCUUCGGGGUGUAAAGUACUUGCAGCGGGGAGGCGUUACCCGCAGAAGAAGCAACGGCUAACUCCGUGCCAGCAGCCGCGGUAAUAC